rnacentral:misc_RNA from 1 species
GGAAAAAAAAAAAGCCAUUUCUCUGUUUGUUCUUGCAUCCAUGAAUAACCUCUUAGCUCUCAAUCCUAUCACUUCUUUUGUCUUCUUUCUCGUGCUACAUCACCUUGCAAUUGCCAUUUCUAAGCCUGCUUACAACCCAACUGACAGCAUACUUACCAAUUGCGGUUCUUCGGGUGACACACCUGCACCUGAUGGGCGCAUAUGGACCGGUGACCAAAAAUCCAAAUUUGGUCCUAUAGAGCAAUCUAGUAGCAAAUCCCUUUCUGCUAGCGCCCUUAGCCAAGGCGGCUCCGUCCAGUAUGUCCCUUACAUGACAGCCCGCAUCUCUCAAUCCCAGUUCACGUACACCUUCCCUGUCACUGCAGGUCAAAAAUUUAUCCGUCUCCACUUCUACUCUGUUUCAUAUCAGGGUGGAUUUAACAGGUUUAAGGACUUCUUCGAUGUCAAAGCGGGGCCUUUCACUUUACUAAGCAACUUCAGUGCUUCCUUCUACGCUGAAGCGAGGGAUACUUAUUCUUUCAUUAAAGAAUUCUGCUUUAACGUCGCAGAGAACCAGCAAUUGAAUCUGACAUUUUCUCCUUCCCUGAGUAAGUAUGCUUUCAUCAAUGGCAUAGAGAUUAUAUCUAUGCCAUCCAACCUUUAUUAUACUCCACCAGAGGAGGGUUCAGGCCUCAUUUCUAUUGGCAAAAAGGAAAAGUUUUUUAUCCAAAAUGACACCGCGCUGGAGAAUAUGUGUAGAUUUAACGUUGCGGGUGGCACCAUCUCGCCAGUACUUGACACUGGCAUGUAUAGGUUAUGGAGGGAUGACGUUCUCAACCUUGGUCUUGUUAACAACGAGCCAAAUCUCUCUCUCAAUUAUUCUAAAAUACCAAACUACACAGCGCCAGAUGAAGUCUAUCUGUCAGCUCGGCAACUGGGACUUAAUGACACCAAUUUGACGUGGAGGGUGCCAGUAGAUCAAGGAUUCAGGUAUCUGGUGAGGCUCCACUUCUGUGAGUUUGUUCCAGAGAUUACCAAGGUCAAUGAAAGACGAUUCGAUAUCUUUAUUGACAAUCAGACAGCUACAUUGGGUUUCGAUGUUAUUGAAUCAAGCGGUGGUCACGGGACUCCCACAUAUAAUGACUACAUAGUAACUGCUGGGAAGAAGGUUGGGAAAGCUGAUGACGAUUAUAGGCUUUUCAUAACUCUGCGUCCUAAUCCUUCAAGUAUUUACCCUGAUGCUUUCCUGAACGGGUUAGAGAUUUUCAAGUUGAACGACUCUGAUGGCAAUCUUGCCGGACCCAAUUCUCUAGUGUCUGUCCCUUCUCCACCAGCAACAACAGCACAACCAUCGGCACCAACAGCCAAGAAGUCCAGCACGAAGAAAAUAUUGCUUCUUGCCAUUGGUGGGAGUGUGAUGGGUUUGUUGAUCAUACUUUCUUUGUUGGGUUUCUUGGUUAUUUGGCGAAUAAGGAAGAAGCAGGACGGUCAUUAUGGGUCUCAUUACAAAUCACUAAGCUGCUGCUGGCGGUUGAAUUCAGCAGCUUAUAUUGGGAAGUCAUCGAGGACUAUGGCUUCUUCACUGCCGCAAGAACUAUGCCGCCAAUUUUCACUAGAUGAGAUUAAAGCUGCUACGAAUGACUUCCAUGAGAGUUUGAUAAUUGGCUCAGGUGGUUUCGGCAAUGUUUACAGAGGUGAUAUUGAUAAUGGAGCCAUGACUGUUGCAAUUAAGCGAUUGAAUCGAGAGUCGAGUCAGGGUGUCCGUGAAUUCAGGACAGAGAUUGAGACGUUGUCCCAGCUCCGCCAUGUCAAUCUCGUCUCUCUGAUCGGAUAUUGUCUUCAUGAAGGAGAAAUGGUCCUUGUUUAUGACUAUAUGGUCAACGGGACUCUUCGAGACCAUCUCUACGACAAAUUCAAGAAUCCACUUCCAUGGAAGCAAAGGCUUGAGAUA